rnacentral:rRNA from 1 species
UACGGAGGGUGCAAGCGUUAUCCGGAUUCACUGGGUUUAAAGGGUGCGUAGGUGGGUUGGUAAGUCAGUGGUGAAAUCUUUCCGCUUAACGGGAAAACUGCCAUUGAUACUAUUAAUCUUGAAUUUUCUGGAGGACAGCGGAAUAUGUCAUGUAGCGGUGAAAUGCUUAGAUAUGACAUAGAACACCGAUUGCGAAGGCAGCUGUCUACGGGGAUAUUGACACUGAGGCACGAAAGCGUGGGGAUCAAACAGG